AGCGAACGCUGGCGGCAGGCCUAACACAUGCAAGUCGAACGAAUUCUUCGGAGUUAGUGGCGGACGGGUGAGUAACACGUGGGAACGUGCCUUUUGGUUCGGAAUAACUCAGGGAAACUUGUGCUAAUACCGAAUGCGCCCUUCGGGGGAAAGAUUUAUCGCCAUUAGAGCGGCCCGCGUCUGAUUAGCUAGUUGGUGAGGUAACGGCUCACCAAGGCGACGAUCAGUAGCUGGUCUGAGAGGAUGACCAGCCACACUGGGACUGAGACACGGCCCAGACUCCUACGGGAGGCAGCAGUGGGGAAUCUUGCGCAAUGGGCGAAAGCCUGACGCAGCCAUGCCGCGUGAAUGAUGAAGGUCUUAGGAUUGUAAAAUUCUUUCACCGGGGACGAUAAUGACGGUACCCGGAGAAGAAGCCCCGGCUAACUUCGUG
rnacentral:rRNA from 1 species